GACAAGGAAUAGGGACAUACGGACGAUUCUGAGAAAAUACUCUCAGUCGCCUCCCGUGUUUAGGCGGCAUGUCUGGCUUCAGAACGUUUCGCGACAUUCUUUAGCCAGAGCCGAACGUAUCGUACAGCAAACACGCUGACUGUGCACCCCGGCAGCUGUUCAUUCGAGUUGUGGUGAUCCCGCAAAGAAGGUUUCGUGGGCAUUUCAUAUCCACAUUUGAUAUCCACUCUAAAGACAUGUGCGCCCUUCGGAAGGAACAAGAGCGGACUUCAGAGACCAUCAAUGCCCUUGUUGAGAGCCAAGAAAAAUUGAACAAAACCCUCGAGCUGCUGAUAAGAC